UAGAAGCUUUUGCCUUUAGAGUUGGGAGACCAAGGAGACCUAGAGCUGUUUUGUAGUUGAGAAGACUUAUCGGUCAAGGGCGAGCUGAUCGGUGUUGACUCCGGCAAGAAAGGUGGCCGGAAUAUCUAUCACGCGUCGAUACGUGUAAUAAUUUUGGUGAUACUGCGGCAGCGCAUGAACGUUAACGGUGAGGAUUCCAAUGACUUAGAUGGGUGGUGUAGUCCAACCCCCUCUAGAAAAGGGUGUAUAGGAACGGCAGUGCCGUUUUCAACAAAAAUAGGGGAAGUCUGAUGAAGAACA
rnacentral:misc_RNA from 1 species